rnacentral:rRNA from 1 species
GACGUAGGGCGCGAGCGUUGUCCGGAUUUAUUGGGCGUAAAGAGCUCGUAGGCGGCUUGUCGCGUCGACCGUGAAAACUUGGGGCUCAACCCCAAGCCUGCGGUCGAUACGGGCAGGCUAGAGUUCGGUAGGGGAGACUGGAAUUCCUGGUGUAGCGGUGGAAUGCGCAGAUAUCAGGAGGAACACCGAUGGCGAAGGCAGAUCUCUGGGCCGUAACUGACGCUGAGGAGCGAAAGCAUGGGGAGCGAACAGG